GAAAGCAACUCAUGUGGCCCAUUAUUUCUUGUCAUCAUCUCAGUUGGUCCAUUGAUGUGAUAUAAACAAUUUAUCAUCCCUCCAAUUUUUCACCUUAUUUUUUCCUUCAACUUUUUUUGUGUAUCACUCAAUUACACUUACACAAAUUUGAUCAAAAUCUUGAUCUAUUUUUUUCCUCUAGCCAUGUCAAGUAGUGAUAUUAGGGGUAAAGAUUUGGCCGAGGGAUCGUCAAGAUCCCCCAGUCGUGAUCAACCACCUAGUCGAUACGAGUCUCAGAAACGUCGAGAUUGGAACACUUUCAACCACUACUUGAAGAAUCAAAGACCACCAAUCCCCCUUCCUCAUUGCCAUAGCAACCACAUCCUAGAGUUCCUCCGGUACCUUGACCAAUUUGGGAAAACAAAGGUUCACUUACUGGGUUGUAUGUUCUACGGUCAACCUGACCCACCAGCUCCCUGCACUUGUCCAUUGAGACAAGCCUGGGGAAGCCUGGAUGCACUCAUAGGCAGGCUUAGGGCUGCCUAUGAAGAGAACGGUGGGUCAAGUGAGACGAACCCAUUCGCGACCGUUGGGAUUCGAGUGUAUUUGAGGGAAGUGAAGGAAUGUCAAGCCAAGGCACGUGGCAUUGCUUAUAAGAAGAAACAAAAGAAGUUGGCUAAUAGUCCAAGUAAGGGAGAUCAUGAUGAUGCAAGUUCUCCAGGAUUCCUCACAUUUUCUUGAUUAUAAAAUGGAUUUUGCGUGGAUAAAAGGGAUUUGCUGCAAAGAGUGGAAGAAUUUUAUUGCCAAUUAAAGUAACCAUUAGCAGUAAUCAAAGGCAUUUAAUUCAAAUUUCUAUUACUUCAUCAUUAUAUAUAAUUUGGUUCUAUAGAGGCCUUAAGCAAAUUUUAAGUUUUUUUUGUGUAUUCUAAACUCUUUUAUACAAGUGAGUUUUUUUCUAUUUACCAGGCCAA